rnacentral:rRNA from 1 species
AUGGAAACCACGGGCCAUUACCUCGCCCCAGGACCGCCUAACCCCGCCACCUCCACGCACGUCCUCACCCCUCCCCGAUCCGACGGUCGCACCGCCGUGGCCGUCCCAACUCCCUUCCCUGCCGGCCUGACGGCGGCCAUACAAUCCGGCAUCUGCGCGCGCGACUUGGAUCUCAGGCCCGGCCCUGCCGUCUCGGCAAAAAUGCAAGAAUUAGGAGAUGUGUACUGCUCGGUUGAGAAGUGGUGCGAAUUGUCAUAUGAUGAUGAUUUUGUGAGAAGGGCCGUACUGGUUCUUAUGGAUACAGUCUUAGCACCACAAUCCACCAAGUUUGUUCCUUAUCGUUAUUACAAAAUGGUGGAGGACGUGAACGCUAUCAAGUCAUACAAUUGGAACGAUUUCACGUUGGGGGUGUGCAUGGAUGCUAUUAAAAAAUCGGUCGAAGAUAUUGAAAAUUUCAAGUGGCCUAUCAGGAACUUGGCUCUUCUUCAGUAUAUAUACUGGGAAAAAGUUGAGCCAAUUGGUGUGGAUACAUUUGAUCCUUUGUCUCGUGACUAUCCACUAAUGCUUAACUGGCCAGAAAUGAAAGGGAAAAAGCGAGACGACUAUGACAACAUGCACGGGCGUGGCACCGGCAAUAUUGAAAACUGCGUUAGUGAAGAGUACAGACGUGCUAAGGUAGCACGUGAAGGGACUCUCCCAGAGGAAGAAACGAAGAAACCUAAACGGAAAGGUGGUGGUAGGAGUAGAAAGCCAAGCACGUCCACGGUUUCAUCGAACACAACUUAUAGUAUGGACCGUGUGAUGACAUACAUAAAGCUGCUUCACAAGGAGGUUCUUAAUAUACCCGAAAGAUGUGCACAGAUGGUAAUGGAAAGGUUGAACACGAAAGAUAUUGAUUCACCUACCGACGUAAAGGUAGGAACAUCUUUCACGGGUAUCAAUGAUACCUCCGUGCCCGUUGAUGACACGGGUGCUCCGGCGAUGACACCGGGUAAAGGUGAAGCUACUGAUCCUUUCAUUAUAGACGAUAAUGGAAACUCUCCAUCUUCGGCAUCAACUGUACGUACAAAAGACUUUCCGUCUAUGUCCCGAACCCCGCAGAAUGCUGAUAUUUCUGGUGAGUCUAUGGAUGCUUUGUCACCAACAAAGUCCGAACACACGUUUGAGAGUUUCCCGGCAGAGAGCAACAUAGGUAAUGGUGAAGGCAGUCAGGAAAAUGAUGAUCUGUUUGCAUCGUCACCACAUUCAAUUCUAGCAAGUUCUCUUAAUAUGACUCCGGAUCACAUAGAGGCAGCCAGAGUUUUUGUUGAGACUCUCGCAUCGACAAAGAAGCAUGCACACCGAACCGUGGUCGAUAUGCCACCACCAGAUGGGGACAUAUGCACGCCAACUAUGCUUCACGAUGUCCUGACAUUUAAAUGGUUGAAUGGCACUAUCAUCAAUGCAUAUUGUAAACACCUACAACACCGUGAUUUUUCUGAUUGUUAUAUAUCAGCAACGUGGUUCCCCAAAUUUAUGUUGAGUAGGGCAAGGGGAAAGACCAAGUCAGUAAAUGAUUUAGACUCAGAACAUGUUACAAAGAAAACAAAAGUCCUCGCAAGAGUAAUGGAUGAGUAUUUCAGACGGGACAAGGCGUAUUUUCCUAUGCACGUUAAUAAUAAUCAUUGGAUAACCAUAGUGAUGCACACCGUCAAGGAGGAGUUUCAAGUUCUUGACUCAAAUUCUAAAGAGAGCUAA